rnacentral:rRNA from 1 species
GACGAACGCUGGCGGCGUGCUUAACACAUGCAAGUCGAGCGGUAAGGCCUUUUCGGAGGUACACGAGCGGCGAACGGGUGAGUAACACGUGAGUGAUCUGCCCUCAACUUCGGGAUAAGCUUCGGAAACGGGUCUAAUACCGGAUAUGACUUCCUGCUUCAUGGUGGGUGGUUGAAAGGUUUUUCUGGUUGGGGAGUGGGCUCGCGGCCUAUCAGCUUGUUGGUGGGGUAAUGGCCUACCAAGGCGUCGACGGGUAGCCGGCCUGAGAGGGCGACCGGCCACACUGGGACUGAGACACGGCCCAGACUCCUACGGGAGGCAGCAGUGGGGAAUAUUGCGCAAUGGACGGAAGUCUGACGCAGCAACGCCGCGUGAGGGAUGACGGCCU